rnacentral:rRNA from 1 species
CCUGAAUCAGUGUGUGUGUUAGUGGAAGCGUCUGGAAAGGCGUGCGAUACAGGGUGACAGCCCCGUACACAAAAAUGCACAUAUUGUGAGCUUGAUGAGUAGGGCGGGACACGUGGUAUCCUGUCUGAAUAUGGGGGGACCAUCCUCCAAGGCUAAAUACUCCUGACUGACCGAUAGUGAACCAGUACCGUGAGGGAAAGGCGAAAAGAACCCCGGCGAGGGGAGUGAAAAAGAACCUGAAACCGUGUACGUACAAGCAGUGGGAGCACGCUUAGGCGUGUGACUGCGUACCUUUUGUAUAAUGGGUCAGCGACUUAUAUUCUGUAGCAAGGUUAACCGAAUAGGGGAGCCGAAGGGAAACCGAGUCUUAACUGGGCGUUAAGUUGCAGGGUAUAGACCCGAAACCCGGUGAUCUAGCCAUGGGCAGGUUGAAGGUUGGGUAACACUAACUGGAGGACCGAACCGACUAAUGUUGAAAAAUUAGCGGAUGACUUGUGGCUGGGGGUGAAAGGCCAAUCAAACCGGGAGAUAGCUGGUUCUCCCCGAAAGCUAUUUAGGUAGCGCCUCGUGAAUUCAUCUCCGGGGGUAGAGCACUGUUUCGGCA